rnacentral:rRNA from 1 species
GAUGAACGCUGGCGGCGUGCCUAAUACAUGCAAGUCGAGCGAACAGACGAGGAGCUUGCUCCUCUGACGUUAGCGGCGGACGGGUGAGUAACACGUGGAUAACCUACCUAUAAGACUGGGAUAACUUCGGGAAACCGGAGCUAAUACCGGAUAAUAUAUUGAACCGCAUGGUUCAAUAGUGAAAGACGGUUUUGCUGUCACUUAUAGAUGGAUCCGCGCCGCAUUAGCUAGUUGGUAAGGUAAAGGCUUACCAAGGCAACGAUGCGUAGCCGACGGGAGGGGGUGAUAGGCCACACUGGAAGGUGACCGCGGACCAGACUACUACGGGAGGCAGCAGUAGGGAAUCGUCCGCAAUGGGCGAAAGCCUGACGGAGCAACGCCGCGUGAGUGAUGAAGGUCUUCGGAUCGUAAAACUCUGUUAUUAGGGAAGAACAAAUGUGUAAGUAACUAUGCACGUCUUGACGGUACCUAAUCAGAAAGCCACGGCUAACUACGUG